rnacentral:rRNA from 1 species
AACGAACGCUGGCGGCAGGCUUAACACAUGCAAGUCGAACGGUCCGCAAGGAUAGUGGCAAACGGGUGAGUAAUACAUGGGAAUGUACCUUUUAGUUCGGGAUAACAGCGGGAAACUGCUGCUAAUACCGGAUGCGCUCUACGGAGGAAAGAUUUAUCGCUGAAAGAUCAGCCCAUGCCAGAUUAGCUAGUUGGUGGGGUAAUGGCUCACCAAGGCAGUGAUCUGUAGCGGGUCUGAGAGGAUGAUCCGCCACACUGGGACUGCGAUACGGCCCAGACUCCUACGGGAGGCAGCAGUGAGGAAUAUUGGACAAUGGAGGCAACUCUGAUCCAGCCAUGCCGCGUGAAUGAUGAAGGCCUUAGGGUUGUAAAGUUCUUUAAGUGGGGAAGAUAAUGACGGUACCCACAGAAUAAGCACCGGCUAACUUCGUGCCAGCCGCCGCAGUAA